rnacentral:rRNA from 1 species
AUGAUCUCACACCACCGCGCGCUCGUGGGGUCAAAGGGCCUAUGCGAUCCGGGGAGGAUGCUCCGUCGUCGUCGUCGCGCGCACGACCUCGCCCUCGCAUUAAACUAUGGCGGCAAUGGAUGGCGAGCCCGUCACCCGCCACGCGCGCGCGCUCUCUCCCAUUUCGGGGGAUGGCGAAAACCAGGACACGUGUCUUUUGGAGAAAUUUAUAAGUGCCGCGGGCCGCAGGGCCGCGCGUGGGCCGCGCCUAGCACCGAGCGGCGUAGCGGGCCUCUCGCCGCGAAAGCCGGGCAGAACGGAGACCCGGCCCGGGGCCCGGUUAUAAAAGCCUCGCUCGCCGCAUGCCGCAACCACCGCCGCGGCCUCCUCGAGCGAGCCCCAGCCCCAUCUCCGAUCUCCGUCUCUUCCGUCCCGUCCCGCUGCGACGUCGACGCCGGUAGCCACCACGGCCGCCCUCCGCCCCGUGCGAAUAUUCACGGCGAUGGUGUUGCAGCGGAGACUUUGACGACGGAGCAGGCGCCACCGCCACGAACCAACAGUGGCCGCGUGCGCGCGUGUGUACACUUCUACGUGAGCGUGGGCGAUCGGUUCACGUCCGUCGAUCGGAGGCUGGGGCGUAGGUCGGAGGACAUGCGGCUGAGGCGGUCGCGUCCGCCUGCCAAGACAGAGGACAGGCGGCUGAGGCGGUCUCCGCCGGUGUCGCUGGAGAAGGCGCGGCGGCAGGGGCGGGCGUCGCGGGGCGGGGCUGCGGUGGCGGGGACGGCGGCAGGGACGGCAGCGGGGUGCGCGGCCGUGUGCGCCUGCUUCCCGUUCGCGGUGAUUGAGCUCGCCGUCCUAGCCACCGUGCGCGCGCCCGCCGCGAUGUGCCGCCGCACCAUCCGCGAGCGGCGCAGCCGGCGAUGCGAGGCCCGGGCCAUGCGGAAGAAGGAGAUGGAGGGCGUCAUCCUCGGCGGGGACGCGUCGCCCAAGUCGGUGGCCGCGACCCAGGAGAAGCACGCCGCGCUGAAGGCGGAGGAGGAAGAGGAGCAGGGGUGGCGCCAUUGGCCGAUCAAGCCCGCGGCGGCGGCUGUGGCUGCGGCCGAGGAGCUCGCGGAGGCGGAGAAGGAGGUGUGGGAGCGCUUCUACGGCACCGGCGGCUUCGGGAGGAGCCCGUCGGAGCACGAGGAAACGUGGUGA